CCCUUAGAUGUUCUGGGCCGCACGCGUGCUACACUGAGUGGAUCAGCGGGUCAGGUUGCGCGAAAGCGUUUCCUAAUCUUUAAAUCCGCUCGUGAUGGGGAUUGACGGUUGCAAUUUUCUGUCAUGAACGAGGAAUACCUUGUAAGCGCGGGUCAUCAUCCCGCGCUGAAUACGUCCCUGCCCUUUGUACACACCGCCCGUCGCUCCUACCGAUUGAGUGGUCCGGUGAGGCUUUGUGAUCUGAGCGGAAAGAGCGUUUCGCUGUUUCUGCUCGGAAAACUCAGUCGAACCUUAUCAUUUAGAGGAAGGAGAAGUCGUAACA
rnacentral:rRNA from 1 species